rnacentral:rRNA from 1 species
GGUUAAGCGACUAAGCGUACACGGUGGAUGCCCUGGCAGUCAGAGGCGAUGAAGGACGUGCUAAUCUGCGAUAAGCGUCGGUAAGGUGAUAUGAACCGUUAUAACCGGCGAUUUCCGAAUGGGGAAACCCAGUGUGAUUCAUCACACUAUCAUUAACUGAAUCCAUAGGUUAAUGAGGCGAACCGGGGGAACUGAAACAUCUAAGUACCCCGAGGAAAAGAAAUCAACCGAGAUUCCCCCAGUAGCGGCGAGCGAACGGGGAGCAGCCCAGAGCCUGAAUCAGUGUGUGUGUUAGUGGAAGCGUCUGGAAAGGCGCGCGAUACAGGGUGACAGCCCCGUACACAAAAAUGCACAUGCUGUGAGCUCGAUGAGUAGGGCGGGACACGUGGUAUCCUGUCUGAAUAUGGGGGGACCAUCCUCCAAGGCUAAAUACUCCUGACUGACCGAUAGUGAACCAGUACCGUGAGGGAAAGGCGAAAAGAACCCCGGCGAGGGGAGUGAAAAAGAACCUGAAACCGUGUACGUACAAGCAGUGGGAGCACAGAGCAAUCUGUGUGACUGCGUACCUUUUGUAUAAUGGGUCAGCGACUUAUAUUCUGUAGCAAGGUUAACCGAAUAGGGGAGCCGAAGGGAAACCGAGUCUUAACUGGGCGUUAAGUUGCAGGGUAUAGACCCGAAACCCGGUGAUCUAGCCAUGGGCAGGUUGAAGGUUGGGUAACACUAACUGGAGGACCGAACCGACUAAUGUUGAAAAAUUAGCGGAUGACUUGUGGCUGGGGGUGAAAGGCCAAUCAAACCGGGAGAUAGCUGGUUCUCCCCGAAAGCUAUUUAGGUAGCGCCUCGUGAAUUCAUCUCCGGGGGUAGAGCACUGUUUCGGCAAGGGGGUCAUCCCGACUUACCAACCCGAUGCAAACUACGAAUACCGGAGAAUGUUAUCACGGGAGACACACGGCGGGUGCUAACGUCCGUCGUGAAGAGGGAAACAACCCAGACCGCCAGCUAAGGUCCCAAAGUCAUGGUUAAGUGGGAAACGAUGUGGGAAGGCCCAGACAGCCAGGAUGUUGGCUUAGAAGCAGCCAUCAUUUAAAGAAAGCGUAAUAGCUCACUGGUCGAGUCGGCCUGCGCGGAAGAUGUAACGGGGCUAAACCAUGCACCGAAGCUGCGGCAGCGACGCUUAUGCGUUGUUGGGUAGGGGAGCGUUCUGUAAGCCUGUGAAGGUGUACUGUGAGGUAUGCUGGAGGUAUCAGAAGUGCGAAUGCUGACAUAAGUAACGAUAAAGCGGGUGAAAAGCCCGCUCGCCGGAAGACCAAGGGUUCCUGUCCAACGUUAAUCGGGGCAGGGUGAGUCGACCCCUAAGGCGAGGCCGAAAGGCGUAGUCGAUGGGAAACAGGUUAAUAUUCCUGUACUUGGUGUUACUGCGAAGGGGGGACGGAGAAGGCUAUGUUGGCCGGGCGACGGUUGUCCCGGUUUAAGCGUGUAGGCUGGUUUUCCAGGCAAAUCCGGAAAAUCAAGGCUGAGGCGUGAUGACGAGGCACUACGGUGCUGAAGCAACAAAUGCCCUGCUUCCAGGAAAAGCCUCUAAGCAUCAGGUAACAUCAAAUCGUACCCCAAACCGACACAGGUGGUCAGGUAGAGAAUACCAAGGCGCUUGAGAGAACUCGGGUGAAGGAACUAGGCAAAAUGGUGCCGUAACUUCGGGAGAAGGCACGCUGAUAUGUAGGUGAAGUCCCUCGCGGAUGGAGCUGAAAUCAGUCGAAGAUACCAGCUGGCUGCAACUGUUUAUUAAAAACACAGCACUGUGCAAACACGAAAGUGGACGUAUACGGUGUGACGCCUGCCCGGUGCCGGAAGGUUAAUUGAUGGGGUUAGCGCAAGCGAAGCUCUUGAUCGAAGCCCCGGUAAACGGCGGCCGUAACUAUAACGGUCCUAAGGUAGCGAAAUUCCUUGUCGGGUAAGUUCCGACCUGCACGAAUGGCGUAAUGAUGGCCAGGCUGUCUCCACCCGAGACUCAGUGAAAUUGAACUCGCUGUGAAGAUGCAGUGUACCCGCGGCAAGACGGAAAGACCCCGUGAACCUUUACUAUAGCUUGACACUGAACAUUGAGCCUUGAUGUGUAGGAUAGGUGGGAGGCUUUGAAGUGUGGACGCCAGUCUGCAUGGAGCCGACCUUGAAAUACCACCCUUUAAUGUUUGAUGUUCUAACGUGGACCCGUAAUCCGGGUUGCGGACAGUGUCUGGUGGGUAGUUUGACUGGGGCGGUCUCCUCCUAAAGAGUAACGGAGGAGCACGAAGGUUGGCUAAUCCUGGUCGGACAUCAGGAGGUUAGUGCAAUGGCAUAAGCCAGCUUGACUGCGAGCGUGACGGCGCGAGCAGGUGCGAAAGCAGGUCAUAGUGAUCCGGUGGUUCUGAAUGGAAGGGCCAUCGCUCAACGGAUAAAAGGUACUCCGGGGAUAACAGGCUGAUACCGCCCAAGAGUUCAUAUCGACGGCGGUGUUUGGCACCUCGAUGUCGGCUCAUCACAUCCUGGGGCUGAAGUAGGUCCCAAGGGUAUGGCUGUUCGCCAUUUAAAGUGGUACGCGAGCUGGGUUUAGAACGUCGUGAGACAGUUCGGUCCCUAUCUGCCGUGGGCGCUGGAGAAUUGAGGGGGGCUGCUCCUAGUACGAGAGGACCGGAGUGGACGCAUCACUGGUGUUCGGGUUGUCAUGCCAAUGGCACUGCCCGGUAGCUAAAUGCGGAAGAGAUAAGUGCUGAAAGCAUCUAAGCACGAAACUUGCCCCGAGAUGAGUUCUCCCUGACUCCUUGAGAGUCCUGAAGGAACGUUGAAGACGACGACGUUGAUAGGCCGGGUGUGUAAGCGCAGCGAUGCGUUGAGCUAACCGGUACUAAUGAACCGUGAGGCUUAACCUUACAACGCCGAAGGUGUUUUG